UACGUAGGGUGCAAGCGUUGUCCGGAAUUAUUGGGCGUAAAGAGCUCGUAGGCGGUUUGUUGCGUCGGCUGUGAAAUCCCGAGGCUCAACCUCGGGUCUGCAGUCGAUACGAGCAAACUAGAGUGUUGCAGGGGAGACUGGAAUUCCUGGUGUAGCGGUGAAAUGCGCAGAUAUCAGGAAGAACACCGGUGGCGAAGGCGGCUCUCUGGACCGAUACUGACGCUGAGGCGCGAAAGCGUGGGGAGCAAACAGG
rnacentral:rRNA from 1 species